UACACGCUCGACCCAGGUGCAACUUCGGAAACCUUGGAAGGCGUGCGUGACAAUGCGCGUAUAGCGCGUGUGGGAUUCGUCGUGACGUGAAAGUCGCUUGCGAGAAAAGAAAAGUACGGCUUCUCUCCCAACGGAAGAUGACGUUCUUGCCCCCCUCCCUCUGGAACCGCAAGAAAAAUGAAAAAAUAAAUCGAUUAAAUUCUCGAAUAUAUUUACGUUCCGUAGUUUCAUUUUUCUUUUAAGAAACACAAUUUAACGACACGGUACUUUAUAUGAAAUAAAUAGCUAAAACGUGUCCACGAAAUAUAUACAUUUUUAUUUACAAUCAUGCAUCUUUGCUUAAAAUUGUCUGGCAUUUCUCGGAUAUGUAUGAAGAUUUCCUUUGGCACUCAAAGGGUUAAACUAGCAGGGGUAGCAUACUCUGUUAAUACCAACGUGGAAAACUUGUUGGAAAAUGAAGUGAACGGGCGUUGAAUAUAUUUCACGGCACACGAGCUCCUAAAAUAAAUCGACUCGAGUAUUCUGCACUUUACGGUUCUCCGUGCGGUAUUGGACCGGCACGUCGGUUCUUCCGUUAAGAAAAAAGAGAAAAAAAGAAGGUAAAUACCAGCGUCUAGAAAAAAUUCAAAUGGUCGAGCCGACUACUUAGCGAGUACUCUCGACAUAGUGGACACGUGUCUAAAGCGUGGCUAGAACCUUAACCACGUGUCAAUAUCUCAAGGGACUUUUGUUUACGAAAGUCAUAGAGGAGGCGAGACGCGUUAGACAUUUUUAUCGAAGAUCGCCAGGAAGAAGUCGCCGAGUACUUACUUACGCCUACUGUGUACAUUGUACGGGCUAGAGCUAACACUUUUCGCGCGUAAGAAAAAAAAAAAAGUGUAACUAAAAAGACUCCGAAAGAUAAAGCGUCGAAAAACGUGUUCUAUGAACGUUUCACGAUUGCAGGGGUGGUCGCUGGUGUCAUCGAAUUCUGUGUUUACCUACGAACGCGGUCGAAGUAAAAAAGAAACGCGGUCACGUGACCUCUCGAACGCACGCUUGUUGCACGCAGCUGAUAAAAAACCGCGGUAGGCAAAAAUGGAUGCCACCGGUUCUACUCACUUGGUCGUGACGCGCAAGAAACGCACCGAUCCCCGUUAAUUCCUAGGAUUCUCGGCGUCCAACGCGUACGUCGCGACGUUCCCUAUCGAAGAGCUUUUGCGCGCGCAAGCACGCACCCUAGUCGCGUGGGCAGUCCCGAGCGGAGAAACCAGUAAAAGAGACUUCCCUCUCUGUCGUCUCGUUCCUUCUCUACCGCGGAACGAAUCCACGGUUCUCCAUCUCUGUCUGGCAAUCGGUUACCUUGCCGGUAAAAACAGCACGAGGUGGUCGGUGGCGCGAACGAGGGUAGGGGGAUAGGCGUGGUUCCAUUCACGUAGGUGCACUCGGAAGUGAUAGUGUACGUGCGCCCACCUCGCGCUUAUCAAGCUCGGUUAGGCCGAUGCGUACACGAAGAGGGGCGAGUCUUCCCGAACAUCAUCGGCGGUGGGGGUAGUUGGCACGGGUUGAGUAGUGGGGAGAGAAGGGGAGUUAAGGUUCGCACACACGGGUAUCGGUGGGGAUGCCGCCUGCACACGUGUGGUGGAAGAGAGAGAUGGAGCUUGAGAGAGGGGGCGAGGGAGUCGAACACGGCCGAAGGUGAAACCCGCGAGUCGACGUAGCCUCGCAGUCGGCGCGAGACCGCGCUACUGGAAGGGUCGGUGUGUCGUCAUAUAUAUAUAUAUAUAUAUCUAUAUAUAUGUGUGUAUGUACGCAACGCCUCUCUCAGAUUCUCUCUUUCCACCACUCUCGUUCACAGUCGCCGCACUCGAGACAAGCAACAGCGAUCAAACAAAACCAUUUGACCGACAGAGUUUAGAGAUAACGCGAGGAGAGAAGAGACGAAUCGUGGCAGCGUGUCGCGUACCACCCUUCUCUUGUCAGCUUGUACGCAAAUCGGAGUACGAGGGUUGACUCGCACGCGAUCGAACACGAAAACCCACCGAUCGCUGUAGGAUACAUACGGUUCGAUUGUCGUCGGAAUUGUGAUCCGAAGAAACGCACGAUCGGUUUUGGAUACCGACGGGGGACCGAAGAAGUCUGUGAUUCCGAUGUGCCUGGUUGUAUAUUAUUUACGAAACGUAAUUGGAGCGUGUUUGUGCUCGCGAACAGAACUGGGAAGUGCGUGCGCACAAACGUGUGUUCACCGAGCGAAGGAUACGCUUUCCGUGACGAUCGAUCGUCUAGAUCGGAGGGGAAUCUGUAGAUCCUCCGGGUUGUUCGUAGUGCCAUUUCUUCGACAGGAGUAAAUUAAGUCGAUAGACGGAGACGUGUGCCGGUGCUGCUGCCGACAGAUAGGAAAACGAAACGAAUGAUAAGACGCGUAUUGUGUGUGAUAUUCGAUCGCGAUCGAUCAACGGAGGAUUGGUGUUGAUUUGUUGUUUAAUGUUAGCCGUAUUAUUAUCUCUCGGGUUGUGUUGCCGUCCGUGGAAGAAACUCGUUGCGACGGGCCGGAGAUGAUCGCUGGCUGUGAUAACGAACGCUUUUCGUUCGAGUAAGUUUAGUGCCUGCCUCUGUGAUUCGUGACAUUAUUGCCGUCGCUAGUUACCUACAAAGCGCCCGUCGAGCCUUUCUAAGUGUCACACCCUGGAAGGAGUUGAAUUUCGAGAGCAUCGGAUGCGCGGGAGCUUUUAACGACCACCAGGGCUCGGAGCAAUCCAUCUCGAAGGAUCAAACAACACCGGAACACGUUCGAUCCUCGCUGCAAAGCUGUCGACGCCGGACUUCGAUGGUUAUGAAUGGCGCAAGGUGGAUCGAGCCAGGAAACGAGUACGAAGAGGAGCAUCCAUCGGCUCGUUAGACGGUCCCGGCUAAGGGGUUAAUGGAGGCUAGAGCAAGGCUCGUACGCGUUGCGAACGGUACCACCGCGAUCAACGGCGUUCAACUCGCCGGAACCAGAGGGAUGAGGCUGGCCGAAGCAGUUAUAGAAGCGUAGCAAUCGCCACGAAGGAGGUGAAAGAGGACGAGACGGUGGCCGGUGUAUCUGCACCAGGUUGAUUGAGGCUCGUGGGUGGCCCUGGCGUCGACGCUACCCGGUAAUGCCCCCUAAUCACGGCUGGCCAUUCACCAUUACGGUGAAAUGCGAUUUUGAGCGAUACCAGGAGCACCGAGAACGGUGCAAUUGCGCGCUGCUUUGUGUACUCUGCUAUGCGGAUGAGAAAAACAGGAAAUUCGAACGAUGCGUGGAAAAGCAACCAGAACCGUCGUACUUCUACGAAUAAGCUGAAAAAGGUGACAGGUUAGCCAGAAUUGCGUUAAACUUAUGAUGACGUGACGUCAAAAUGACUUUACGCGUUUGAAGUAUCUGCGAAUGUUCUUUCUAGGUUCGACUCGAUGAUACAUGAAGAUGUACCAUUCGUUAUAUAAUUUAUCGGAGGAAAUCUUUUUUUUUUUCAGUUUUUUCGAAACCUUGUAUUAAAAGAUGAACAAUCAUAUAAGUGUAUUAAAAAAUUGAAGAUAUUUCUAAAAACGAUCA